ensembl:lncRNA
ACUAGGCUUUAGCUCGGCAGGCUAACAGAGACACGCAGGACAUCCAGGGUUUCUCGUCAGUCAUAAAGUCCAUAAAGGAUAUUGUUGGAAUGAUUAAGCAGGGACCUUCGUGUGGGUGUGUGUGUGUGUGUGUGAGUAAAACUGCACACUUUAUUGCUUUGAGGGACAAAGUCCCAAAACCCCGUUUUAUCAGAAAACAUUCAUAGUGAAAGUUAGAAAAGAACAAGCCACGGAAAAGCAAGAGCAAGUGACACAAUUCUGUCGGAUAAAAUUAGGAGGCUUCUCUCAGACCAGAAGAACCAUGUGACAUCUGCUCUGAGCGCAGAGCCAUGAAGCUUUGUCUGACCUGCUCUGUCUACUACUGUGAGAAACACAUGAGGAAGCACUUCAUAAUACAAGCACUGAGGAGACACGUCAUGGUGGAUGUCACUGAAGAAGUCGUACUACAGAGAAACACCUCGGAGAAGAAGAGAGAGGAGCAGGAGGAAGAGGGAAGGAGACAGGGACAGGAGGAGGGGCUGAGGUGGCAGACGAGGAAGGAGGACUUUAGGGAAGAGGAGAGGGGGCACCAGGAGGCUGUGGAACAACAGUGCAGAGAGAAGGAGAGGAAGAGAGAGGAGAAGGAGGAAGAGGGAAGGAGACAGGGACAGGAGGAGGGGCUGAGGUGGCAGACGAGGAAGGAGGACUUUAGGGAAGAGGAGAGGGGGCACCAGGAGGCUGUGGAACAACAGUGCAGAGAGAAGGAGAGAGAGAGAGAGGGAAGGAGGAAGAGAGAGGGG